UACGGGGGGGGCAAGCGUUGUUGCGGAAUUACUGGGCGUAAAGGGCUCGUAGGCGGCCAACUAAGUCAGACGUGAAAUCCCUCGGCUUAACUGGGGAACUGCGUCUGAUACUGGAUGGCUUGAGUUUGGGAGAGGGACGCGGAAUUCCAGGUGUAGCGGUGAAAUGCGUAGAUAUCAAGAGGAACACCAGUGGCGAAGGCGAGUCCCUGGACAACUUCUGACGCUGAGGCACGAAAGCUAGGGGAGCAAACAGG
rnacentral:rRNA from 1 species